CUUUCCCUCUGGCUGCAGGCCUAACACAUGCAAGUCGAGCGGAUGAAGGGAGCUUGCUCCUGGAUUCAGCGGCGGACGGGUGAGUAAUGCCUAGGAAUCUGCCUGGUAGUGGGGGAUAACGUCCGGAAACGGGCGCUAAUACCGCAUACGUCCUGAGGGAGAAAGUGGGGGAUCUUCGGACCUCACGCUAUCAGAUGAGCCUAGGUCGGAUUAGCUAGUUGGUGGGGUAAAGGCCUACCAAGGCGACGAUCCGUAACUGGUCUGAGAGGAUGAUCAGUCACACUGGAACUGAGACACGGUCCAGACUCCUACGGGAGGCAGCAGUGGGGAAUAUUGGACAAUGGGCGAAAGCCUGAUCCAGCCAUGCCGCGUGUGUGAAGAAGGUCUUCGGAUUGUAAAGCACUUUAAGUUGGGAGGAAGGGCAGUAAGUUAAUACCUUGCUGUUUUGACGUUACCAACAGAAUAAGCACCGGCUAACUUCGUG
rnacentral:rRNA from 1 species